rnacentral:rRNA from 1 species
GCAAGUCGAACGAGACCUUCGGGUCUAGUGGCGCACGGGUGCGUAACGCGUGGGAACCUGCCCAAAGGUGCGGAAUAACUCAGGGAAACUUGAGCUAAUACCGCAUGAUGCCGAAAGGCCAAAGAUUUAUCGCCUUUGGAUGGGCCCGCGUCGGAUUAGCUUGUUGGUGGGGUAAUGGCCCAAGGCGACGAUCCGUAGCUGGUUUGAGAGGAUGAUC